GAACGCACCUUGCACCCUUUGGCAUUCCGAAGGGUAUGCUCGUUUGAGUGUCAUUGUACUCUCACACUCUCACUCUUUGGAUUGGGAGCGGUGGACUUGGGUGUUGCUGCUUUACCGCGGCUCACCUCAAAUGGAGUAGUGCACCUCUCGGUUGGACAUAGUACGGCGUGAUAAGUGUCUUCGCCGGCGCCUCAUUAGAGGGUGGCCGAUCGGGAGCUCUGUGCUUCAAACCGUCUUCGGACAACAACUGACAACUUGACCUCAAAUCGAGUAGGACUACCCGCUGAACUUA
rnacentral:misc_RNA from 1 species